AUGACCAAGAAAUGCCUGAAGCCCCUGCCGACUGUAUGUUUAAAGGUGACCCUCGAUUUAUUUAUGAGGCAGUGGAGUCCUUUAACUUUUGAACUUUUUGAUGGGUUGAGCCUGCCAAAAUGUGAUUCCAGAAGCAUUUUGAGUGGCAGCUCUGGGACCCGGCUCGCGGCAAGGCUAUGGGACAACGUGUGCCAAGAUGAGCCUCCAGAGGCCACCCAGGGAAAGGGACCGAUCGACUGCAGCUGUGGGAGAAGAUACUGCACCAACUAUGUGAUUUCUGUAAGCCUCCUGUGGGCGGAGGUGGCAGGAAGGGGGAGGCAUGCGGUCGUUCCCGGAGAGUGGACCAGGCAGAAAUGGCAACAGGUGUCCAUUACGUUCAUUACACAGGGGAGAGAUCUGAGCCUCAGACGGGCCAACUUUGUAAUGUCAUACAGGUGGUCUGUCAGUGGGGUGGGGAUGGGAACACACGGCCAUCUGAUUCCCCAGAAUAUUUCCUUUGUGUCGUCCCAAGGUUUCUCAUGGUGUGAGAUGCGUGCCAAAUGUGGUGUUUGAGGUGACUUUUGGUGCUACCUAAAUGGACAUUUAAAAUUUAAUGUGUGUUAGAAAAAGAAUAACCACGUAAAACAAUAUCGAAUUUCUUUAAGUUUAUUCAUGUAUUUUUUUUUUGAAAGAGACAGAGACAGCACAAGUGGGGGAGGGGCAGAGAGAGAAGGGGAGAGAGAGAGAGAGAGAGAGAGAGAGAGAGAAUCCCAGGCCGGCUUUGUGCUGCCAGGACAGAAUCCCAACAUGGGGCUCAAACUCACAAAAACAUGAGCCCAUGACCUGAGCAGAAUCCAAGAGUCAGACACAACCUACUGAGUGCCCCUGGCACCCUUAGAAUUUCUUUUUUUUUUUGUAAGUUAUUUUAUUUAUUUAUUUAUUUAUUUAUUUAUUUAUUUAUUUUUCAAUAUAUGACAUUUAUUGUCAAAUUGGUUUCCAUACAACACCCAGUGCUCAUCCCAAAAGGUGCCCUCCUCAAUACCCAUC
rnacentral:lncRNA from 1 species